rnacentral:rRNA from 1 species
UACGUAGGGUGCGAGCGUUAAUCGGAAUUACUGGGCGUAAAGCGUGCGCAGGCGGUUCGUUGUGUCCGAUGUGAAAGCCCCCGGGCUUAACCUGGGAAUGGCAUUGGAAACUGGCGAGCUUGAGUGCGGCAGAGGGGGUGGAAUUCCGCGUGUAGCAGUGAAAUGCGUAGAGAUGCGGAGGAACACCGAUGGCGAAGGCAGCCCCCUGGGUCGACACUGACGCUCAGGCACGAAAGCGUGGGGAGCAAACAGG